ACAGUUCAAAUUUCCGCUCAAAUUGAAAGACUGCGGCGUCAAAAAUAGCUGCAUGAAUAUAGUAUUUAAAAUAUAUUUUAAAGAUUUAAGACCUUUAAAUAUCUACUCAGAUUAAAAGUAGAAAGUUAAUCGACGCCCGAUUUAGAUACGAUAACUAAACUUUACGGUCAUGAGUACUUGGAGAAUGGCAGGACUGAAUUACGUAAACUACUCGAACAUAGCGGCUCGUACUUUACGCAAAUCUCUGAAAGGAAACUUAAAGGAGGAAGCAUCCAAACGUGAUAAAUCGUUAAUCAGAUAUUUCUAUUGGGCUAAUGGCGAAAUUUUACCUGCCGGUCAAAAGCCCACGGCGGAUAAGGAAAGAACUACAACUUAGUUAUUGGUUGUGUUAUUCGAUUAAUACAUGAUUACUUUUG